AUCAUAGUUAUCUCCAUAAAAAAUGGGGACAAGAUUCUGUGAAUAGUUGAACACGGAUGGUGAUGAUGUUGCCAUGUUGAAGAACUAGUAUUGAGACACAAGGCUAACCACGCUCUGAUACCAAAUUUGUUGGAGUGAAGUGUAUGGAAGAAGAUAUUAGAUUGUUAGAGUAGGAAAAUGUUAUGAGAAUAACUUUGAAUGCUUCUUAUU
rnacentral:lncRNA from 1 species